CAAAUUACAGGUGUGAGCCACCGCGUCCAGCCACAAAAAAAAUUCUUUAAUUCGUCAGGCAUAGUGACAUGAACCUGUAGUCCCAGCUACUCAGAAGGUUGAGGUUGGAGGCUCACUUGAGCCUAGGAGGUCAAGGGUGCAGUGAGUUACGAUUGCAUCACUGCACUCCAGCCUGGGUGACAGAGGAAGGAAGGACAAGCAUGCCAGACAAAGGGGACAACAUGAAUAAAUGCAAGGAGAGUUCCUGGUGACUGCGGAAUCUGAUGGGCCUGGAGUGAUGGAAUGGGGAUGGAGAACGGGGCUGGGAGGGUCUCGACUCCAUGGCUCAAGUUAGAGGGAGAGCCCUUGGAGGCUUUUGUGUGUUUUGGAGACCAGGGGAGUGAAGCGCAGCCUAUUUACACUCGAGUAUUUUCCCCUUAAGCCAGCCUGGCAUGCUAUUAUUUCUUUUUGAGAUAACAGAAAGCAAUUUCACUAAGUGCCUGCUUUAAGUUUGCCUGCUGUUCACACAGCUUUCUGGGCUUAGUUGGCAAAUUGCAUUCUGCCAGGAGCUUUCCCUGGCACAGCUCACUACCCAAGGAAUUCUAAGGAGCACUUGAGCUUGACUCCAAGGUCUUAGUUCCCUAGGAAUGGGGCCUAGUCUUUUUUCAGGGCAGUG
rnacentral:lncRNA from 10 species